CUUUGCUUCCUUUUGUUUUGUUCUUACGUGGCUAGCUUCUUUGCUUGCUAUUAUUUUUUUUUGAUACCUUUUCCAAUUUGACAAUAUUUUUUGUAUCUUCCUUGAAAACACAAAUAUAUGAUUUCCCUAAGUCUACCAUCUUUGUACUCAACCUCAAACAACUCUCUUUUUUUCUUCCACUUUCUCUCUUCACCCUUUUAUGUAGGUAGUUUUUUUUCCACUUUCUCUCUUCACCCUAUUAUCCUUCUUCGGCUGUUAUUUUCUUUCUUCCAUUUUCUUUCUUUUCACCAUUUGCUACGCCGAUGAGUGUGGUGGUGGUGGAAACGGGUUUCCGAUAAUGAGUAUGGUGGUGGUGGUGGAAACUGAUUUCCAGCGACGAUUGUGGUGGUGGUUGAAACGGGUUUCCGGCGACGAUUUUAUGUUUUAUUUUUAUUUUUAGAUCUGUAAAAAUACCGUGGACAAAAUUGUGUAUGUAUAUAAUAAUUUGAUGAAGUUUCAUGUUUUUAUGUUAUGAAGUUAAAGAUUGAUUUACAUUGUAUAUAUUUUUCAGUCAUAGGUUGAAAUGAUCCAAAGAGGUUUGAAGAUUGAGUAUUAAUAAAAUUUGAUUUAUAAAAGAUUGCAGAUGAGGUUUUAGAUCUGGAGCUAAUAACAGAUCAAAACUCAAAAGAAUCAUGGAAGAUUGUGAGGAUGAAUAUUAGCUGAAAUGAAUUAUAAAGAAGCAGAAGAGAAAUAUUUUUAGGUUGAUGCAAAUUAUUUAUUCUCCUCUUUGUGAAAUUGUUGGUUAAGAUUUAUGUAAUAAUAUAUGAAUUUUUGUUUGACUCAAAUUGAAGUUACAGAUUUUGUUUUAAAAAUUGGUAGUAUUUUUUUAGUUUGGGAAUAUGUAUGUUGUUUGACGCAUUAGUAGUUGUUUUUCAUGGCAACAAUGGCUUAAUAGGUAUCACCAUUCUUUUAUGAUCUAUAGC